rnacentral:lncRNA from 1 species
AGCAGGAACCCUAAAUGACAGAUGGUUCCCUGUCCACUCAGCAGGCUGAGGGUCCACCUGGAAGAUACCAAGGCGAUGGGCUUGGUGCCGUCCUGAGUUUGCAGGCCGAGGCUCACGCUGCUCUGCCAACACUCACAUACAGUAUCCGCAUCAAAGGCUGAGUGUGGCCAAGUGAAGGAGAAAGCCCCUGUGCGGGCACCUGCAGAGGCGUCCACCCUGCCCAGGGGCCUCUGGGGACGCAGCGCCCACCCUGCCCAGGGGCCUUGGGGACGCAGCGACUCACUGACCAGUGAGCGCAGAUGAGCGACUGCACCUCUCUGCUUCAGCUCUUGCAAUCCCCACCUUGCAAGGUGGCGUCAAGGACUGAGAAAGAACGAGCACCAGGCCUGGCCCCAUGAGCACUGCUGGGUCUGGAUCCAGGCGCCGUCCACCUUCCACCUGGCAGCACUAAUGCUUCCUCCCCGGCUGCACUGGCCCUUAUCUGGGGGUCAGGAACUCACGUGCUGAAUAAAGAGCAACUCUUUUCCAGA